rnacentral:tRNA from 1 species
GUUUGUAGCUCAGUGGUAGAGUGCUUGUUUCGCGUGUAUGGGGUCUUGGGUUCAAUCCUUGAAAAUAAAUA